AUAGCCUCAGUAACGGCGAGUGAAGCGGCUACAGCUCAAAUUUGAAAUCUGGCUCCCUUUGGGCGUCCGAGUUGUAAUUUGCAGAGGAUGCUUUGGCAUUGGCGGCGGUCUAAGUUCCUUGGAACAGGACAUCGCAGAGGGUGAGAAUCCCGUACGUGGGCGCCUGCCUUUGCCGUGUAAAGCUCCUUCGACGAGUCGAGUUGUUUGGGAAUGCAGCUCUAAAUGGGAGGUAAAUUUCUCCUAAAGCUAAAUACCGGCCAGAGACCGAUAGCGCACAAGUAGAGUGAUCGAAAGAUGAAAAGUACUUUGGAAAGAGAGUCAAAUAGCACGUGAAAUUGUUGAAAGGGAAGCGCUUGCAGCCAGACUUGCCCGCAGUUGCUCACCUAGGCUUUUGCCUGGGGCACUCUUCUGCGGGCAGGCCAGCAUCAGUUUGGGCGGUCGGAUAAAGGUCUCUGUCAUGUACCACCCCUCGGGGUGGCCUUAUAGGGGAGACGCAAUGCGACCAGCCCGGACUGAGGUCCGCGCAUCUGCUAGGAUGCUGGCGUAAUGGCUGUAAGCGGCCCGUCUUGAAACACGGACCAAGGAGUCUAACAUCUAUGCGAGUGUUUGGGUGUCAAGCCCGGGCGCGCAAUGAAAGUGAACGGAGGUGGGAACCUUUCGGGGUGCACCAUCGACCGAUCCUGAUGUCUUCGGAUGGAUUUGAGUAAGAGCAUAGCUGUUGGGACCCGAAAGAUGGUGAACUAUGCUUGAAUAGGGUGAAGCCAGAGGAAACUCUGGUGGAGGCUCGCAGCGGUUCUGACGUGCAAAUCGAUCGUCAAAUUUGGGCAUAGGGGCGAAAGACUAAUCGAACCAU
rnacentral:rRNA from 1 species